UACGUAGGGGGCGAGCGUUGUCCGGAAUCAUUGGGCGUAAGCGCGUGUAGGCGGCUUGGUAAGUCCGGUGUGAAACUUGGGGCUCAACCCCAAGCCUGCACUGGAUACUGCCUCGCUUGAGUCCGGGAGGGGAGAGCGGAAUUCCUAGUGUAGCGGUGAAUGCGCAGAUAUUAGGAAGAACACCGGUGGCGAAGGCGGCUACUCUGGACGGUACUGACGCUGAGACGCGAAAGCGUGGGGAGCGAACGAG
rnacentral:rRNA from 1 species